AAGAUUUAUGUGUUUUGCAAAUUCCAAAAGUUUGCAGUGCUGCUAUACCAAAGGAUGUUGAGGAAUUUAGCCUGCACCAAGGAUGCUGUGUUUGCAGAUGACUGAUGGUCAUAAAAGCUGCACAGCAGCAGAAUACAGUUAUACUCCAUAAAUGAGACCAAGACACUUGGAGGAGGUGGCAGUGGUGCCAGCAGUAAUCUCAAUAUGAGCGAUGUUGGCAAAUGAAACAGGAAAGUUUUACAGAAAGAAAAAUGAACUAAAUCAGAGGGGAAACAGGUGUCUAUGGAGAGCUGGUUGUUGAGAAGGCACUGAAGCAUAUAACAGAAAUUGGCUUCAGUAAGGCAGCAUCCAGGCAAGCGCUAUAUGGUUAAUGGCAACAACUUAGAAGCAGUGUACUUCUUAACAGCAAUAAACAGAAACCUGUUCUGAAUGUGUCUCCAAGAGGU